AUUGAACGCUGGCGGCAUGCUUUACACAUGCAAGUCGAACGGUAACAGGCCUUCGGGUGCUGACGAGUGGCGAACGGGUGAGUAAUGCAUCGGAACGUGCCCAGCGGUGGGGGAUAACGCAGCGAAAGCUGUGCUAAUACCGCACGUGAUCUGAGGAUGAACUCGGGGGACCAGGCAGGAAUGUUUGUCCUCGCGCCGCUGGACCGGCCGAUGUCAAAUUAGUUAGUUGGGGGGGUAAAGGCCUACCAAGGCGACGAUCUGUAUCUGGUCUGAGAGGACGACCAGCCACACUGGGACUGAGACACGGCCCAGACUCCUACGGGAGGCAGCAGUGGGGAAUUUUGGACAAUGGGCGCAAGCCUGAUCCAGCAAUGCCGCGUGCGGGAAGAAGGCCUUCGGGUUGUAAACCGCUUUUGUACGGAACGAAAAGGCUCUGGCUAAUACCUGGGGCUGAUGACGGUACCGGAAGAAUAAGCACCGGCUAACUACGUG
rnacentral:rRNA from 1 species